rnacentral:rRNA from 1 species
AGCGUACACGGUGGAUGCCCUGGCAGUCAGAGGCGAUGAAGGACGUGCUAAUCUGCGAUAAGCGUCGGUAAGGUGAUAUGAACCGUUAUAACCGGCGAUUUCCGAAUGGGGAAACCCAGUGUGAUUCGUCACACUAUCAUUAACUGAAUCCAUAGGUUAAUGAGGCGAACCGGGGGAACUGAAACAUCUAAGUACCCCGAGGAAAAGAAAUCAACCGAGAUUCCCCCAGUAGCGGCGAGCGAACGGGGAGCAGCCCAGAGCCUGAAUCAGUGUGUGUGUUAGUGGAAGCGUCUGGAAAGGCGCGCGAUACAGGGUGACAGCCCCGUACACAAAAAUGCACAUGCUGUGAGCUCGAUGAGUAGGGCGGGACACGUGGUAUCCUGUCUGAAUAUGGGGGGACCAUCCUCCAAGGCUAAAUACUCCUGACUGACCGAUAGUGAACCAGUACCGUGAGGGAAAGGCGAAAAGAACCCCGGCGAGGGGAGUGAAAAAGAACCUGAAACCGUGUACGUACAAGCAGUGGGAGCACAGAGCAAUCUGUGUGACUGCGUACCUUUUGUAUAAUGGGUCAGCGACUUAUAUUCUGUAGCAAGGUUAACCGAAUAGGGGAGCCGAAGGGAAACCGAGUCUUAACUGGGCGUUAAGUUGCAGGGUAUAGACCCGAAACCCGGUGAUCUAGCCAUGGGCAGGUUGAAGGUUGGGUAACACUAACUGGAGGACCGAACCGACUAAUGUUGAAAAAUUAGCGGAUGACUUGUGGCUGGGGGUGAAAGGCCAAUCAAACCGGGAGAUAGCUGGUUCUCCCCGAAAGCUAUUUAGGUAGCGCCUCGUGAAUUCAUCUCCGGGGGUAGAGCACUGUUUCGGCAAGGGGGUCAUCCCGACUUACCAACCCGAUGCAAACUGCGAAUACCGGAGAAUGUUAUCACGGGAGACACACGGCGGGUGCUAACGUCCGUCGUGAAGAGGGAAACAACCCAGACCGCCAGCUAAGGUCCCAAAGUCAUGGUUAAGUGGGAAACGAUGUGGGAAGGCCCAGACAGCCAGGAUGUUGGCUUAGAAGCAGCCAUCAUUUAAAGAAAGCGUAAUAGCUCACUGGUCGAGUCGGCCUGCGCGGAAGAUGUAACGGGGCUAAACCAUGCACCGAAGCUGCGGCAGCGACGCUGAUGCGUUGUUGGGUAGGGGAGCGUUCUGUAAGCCUGCGAAGGUGUGCUGUGAGGCAUGCUGGAGGUAUCAGAAGUGCGAAUGCUGACAUAAGUAACGAUAAAGCGGGUGAAAAGCCCGCUCGCCGGAAGACCAAGGGUUCCUGUCCAACGUUAAUCGGGGCAGGGUGAGUCGACCCCUAAGGCGAGGCCGAAAGGCGUAGUCGAUGGGAAACAGGUUAAUAUUCCUGUACUUGGUGUUACUGCGAAGGGGGGACGGAGAAGGCUAUGUUGGCCGGGCGACGGUUGUCCCGGUUUAAGCGUGUAGGCUGGUUUUCCAGGCAAAUCCGGAAAAUCAAGGCUGAGGCGUGAUGACGAGGCACUACGGUGCUGAAGCAACAAAUGCCCUGCUUCCAGGAAAAGCCUCUAAGCAUCAGGUAACAUCAAAUCGUACCCCAAACCGACACAGGUGGUCAGGUAGAGAAUACCAAGGCGCUUGAGAGAACUCGGGUGAAGGAACUAGGCAAAAUGGUGCCGUAACUUCGGGAGAAGGCACGCUGAUAUGUAGGUGAAGUCCCUCGCGGAUGGAGCUGAAAUCAGUCGAAGAUACCAGCUGGCUGCAACUGUUUAUUAAAAACACAGCACUGUGCAAACACGAAAGUGGACGUAUACGGUGUGACGCCUGCCCGGUGCCGGAAGGUUAAUUGAUGGGGUCAGCGCAAGCGAAGCUCUUGAUCGAAGCCCCGGUAAACGGCGGCCGUAACUAUAACGGUCCUAAGGUAGCGAAAUUCCUUGUCGGGUAAGUUCCGACCUGCACGAAUGGCGUAAUGAUGGCCAGGCUGUCUCCACCCGAGACUCAGUGAAAUUGAACUCGCUGUGAAGAUGCAGUGUACCCGCGGCAAGACGGAAAGACCCCGUGAACCUUUACUAUAGCUUGACACUGAACAUUGAGCCUUGAUGUGUAGGAUAGGUGGGAGGCUUUGAAGUGUGGACGCCAGUCUGCAUGGAGCCGGCCUUGAAAUACCACCCUUUAAUGUUUGAUGUUCUAACGUUGACCCGUGAUCCGGGUUGCGGACAGUGUCUGGUGGGUAGUUUGACUGGGGCGGUCUCCUCCUAAAGAGUAACGGAGGAGCACGAAGGUUGGCUAAUCCUGGUCGGACAUCAGGAGGUUAGUGCAAUGGCAUAAGCCAGCUUGACUGCGAGCGUGACGGCGCGAGCAGGUGCGAAAGCAGGUCAUAGUGAUCCGGUGGUUCUGAAUGGAAGGGCCAUCGCUCAACGGAUAAAAGGUACUCCGGGGAUAACAGGCUGAUACCGCCCAAGAGUUCAUAUCGACGGCGGUGUUUGGCACCUCGAUGUCGGCUCAUCACAUCCUGGGGCUGAAGUAGGUCCCAAGGGUAUGGCUGUUCGCCAUUUAAAGUGGUACGCGAGCUGGGUUUAGAACGUCGUGAGACAGUUCGGUCCCUAUCUGCCGUGGGCGCUGGAGAACUGAGGGGGGCUGCUCCUAGUACGAGAGGACCGGAGUGGACGCAUCACUGGUGUUCGGGUUGUCAUGCCAAUGGCACUGCCCGGUAGCUAAAUGCGGAAGAGAUAAGUGCUGAAAGCAUCUAAGCACGAAACUUGCCCCGAGAUGAGUUCUCCCUGACUCCUUGA